rnacentral:rRNA from 1 species
GUGCUAUAGAUAAAGUACCAUAAAGGAAAGAUGAAAAAAUUAACCAAGCAUAAAAUAGCAAGGACAUACCCCUGUAUCUUCUGCAUAAUGAAUUAACUAGAAAUAACUUUGCAAAGAGAACCAAAGCCAAGACCCCCGAAACCAGACGAGCUACCCCAAAACAGCUAAAAGAGCACACCCAUCCAUGUAGCAAAAUAGUGGGAAGAUUUAUGGGUAGCAGUGACAAGCCUACCGAACCUGGUGAUAGCUGGUUGUCCAAGAUAGAAUCUUAGUUCAACUUUAAAUUUAUCUACAGAACCACUUAAUCCCCUUGUAAAUUUAACUAUUAGUCUAAAGAGGGACAGCUCUUUAGACACUAGGACAAAACCUUAUAUACAGAGUAAGAAAACCCAAGUUCCAUAGUUGGCCUAAAAGCAGCCAUCAAUUAAGAAAGCAUUCAAGCUCAACACCUGAACACCUAAAAUCCCAAUUACAUCACUGAACUCCUCACAUCACACUGGACCAAUCUAUUAUUUUAUAGAAGCAAUAAUGUUAGUAUAAGUAACAUGAAUAAUUUUCUCCACUUCACAAGCCUACAUCAGACCAGAAUACUUCACUGACAAUUAACAGACUAAUAUUAAUAAAUAACUAAUAACCAUUACUACUCGUACUGUUAACCCAACACAGGCAUGCUCUUAAGGAAAGGUUAAAAAAAAGUAAAAGGAACCGGCAAAUCUAACCCCCUGUUUACCAAAAACAUCACCUCCAGCAUUACCAGUAUUAGAGGCACUGCCUGCCCAGUGACAUAUGUUUAACAGUCGUGAUACCCUGACUGUGCAAAGGUAGCAUAAUCACUUGUUCUUUAAAUAGGGACUUGCAUGAAUGGCACCAUGGGGGUUUAACUGUCUCUUACUUUUAACCAGUGAAAUGACGCCGCAUGAGAGGCCGGACAUUAAAUAUAAUAAGACGAGAAGACCCUAUGGAGGCUUUAAUUUAUUAAUGCAAACAAAACUAUAUAAACCCACAGGCUUUAAAUUACUGCAUCUGCAUUAAAAAUUUUGGUUGGGGUGACCUCGGAGCAUAACCCAACCUCCAAACAACCUAUGCUAAGACUACACCAGUUAAAGCGAAUUAUUAUGCACAAUUGACCCAAUAAUUUGAUCAACGGAACAAGUUACCCUGGGGAUAACAGCGCAAUUCUAUUCUAGAGUCCAUAUCAACAAUAGAGUUUACGACCUCGAUGUUGGAUCAGGACAUCCUAAUGGUGCAGCCGCUAUCAAGGGUUUGUCUGUUCAAUGAUUAAAGUCCUACAUGAUCUGAGUUCAGACUGGAACAAUCCAGGUCAGUUUCUAUCUAUUUUAUAUGUCACCCAGUAUGAAAGGAUAAGAGAAAUAGCGCCU